AUUGAACGCUGGCGGCAGGCCUAACACAUGCAAGUCGAGCGGAUGAAGGGAGCUUGCUCCUGGAUUCAGCGGCGGACGGGUGAGUAAUGCCUAGGAAUCUGCCUGGUAGUGGGGGAUAACGUCCGGAAACGGGCGCUAAUACCGCAUACGUCCUGAGGGAGAAAGUGGGGGAUCUUCGGACCUCACGCUAUCAGAUGAGCCUAGGUCGGAUUAGCUAGUUGGUGGGGUAAAGGCCUACCAAGGCGACGAUCCGUAACUGGUCUGAGAGGAUGAUCAGUCACACUGGAACUGAGACAAGGUACAGAAUACUACGGGAGGCAGCAGUGGGGAAUAUUGGACAAUGGGCGAAAGCAUGAUCAAGCCAUGCCGCGUGUGUGAAGAAGGUCUUCGGAUUGUAAAGCACUUUAAGUUGGGAGGAAGGGCAGUAAGUUAAUACCUUGCUGUUUUGACGUUACCAACAGAAUAAGCACCGGCUAACUUCGUG
rnacentral:rRNA from 1 species